rnacentral:rRNA from 1 species
GACGAACGCUGGCGGCGUGCUUAACACAUGCAAGUCGAACGGAAAGGCCCUGCUUUUGUGGGGUGCUCGAGUGGCGAACGGGUGAGUAACACGUGAGUAACCUGCCCUUGACUUUGGGAUAACUUCAGGAAACUGGGGCUAAUACCGGAUAGGAGCUCCUGCUGCAUGGUGGGGGUUGGAAAGUUUCGGCGGUUGGGGAUGGACUCGCGGCUUAUCAGCUUGUUGGUGGGGUAGUGGCUUACCAAGGCUUUGACGGGUAGCCGGCCUGAGAGGGUGACCGGCCAAAUUGGGACUGAGAUACGGCCCAGACUCCUACGGGAGGCAGCAGUGGGGGAUAUUGCACAAUGGGCGGAAGCCUGAUGCAGCCACGCCGCGUGCGGGAUGACGGCCUUCGGGUUGUAAACCGCUUUCGCCUGUGACGAAGCGUGAGUGACGGUAAUGGGUAAAGAAGCACCGGCUAACUACGUG